UACGUAGGGGGCUAGCGUUGUCCGGAUUUAUUGGGCGUAAAGAGCUCGUAGGCGGCUUGUCGCGUCGAAUGUGAAAUCUCAGGGCUCAACUCUGACAUUGCAUUUGAUACGGGCAGGCUAGAGUUCGGUAGGGGAGACUGGAAUUCCUGGUGUAGCGGUGAAAUGCGCAGAUAUCAGGAGGAACACCGGUGGCGAAGGCGGCGAUCUGGGUCGAUACUGACACUGAGGCACGAAGGCCAGGGGAGCAAACGGG
rnacentral:rRNA from 1 species